CGGAGGAUCCAAGCGUUAUCCGGAAUCAUUGGGUUUAAAGGGUCCGUAGGCGGUUUAGUAAGUCAGUGGUGAAAGCCCAUCGCUCAACGGUGGAACGGCCAUUGAUACUGCUAGACUUGAAUUAUUAGGAAGUAACUAGAAUAUGUAGUGUAGCGGUGAAAUGCUUAGAGAUUACAUGGAAUACCAAUUGCGAAGGCAGGUUACUACUAAUGGAUUGACGCUGAUGGACGAAAGCGUGGGUAGCGAACAGGAUUAGAUACCCUGGUAGUCCACGCCGUAAACGAUGGAUACUAGCUGUUGGGAGCGAUCUCAGUGGCUAAGCGAAAGUGAUAAGUAUCCCACCUGGGCAGUACGUUCGCAAGAAUG
rnacentral:rRNA from 1 species